UUUCCAUUAGGCUGACUGUGGAAAUCAUGGAAAAACGUCGUCUGAUUCUUUGUCAUUAUGGAAAUAGUCUAUAAGCUUAUCCAAUUAGAACAGCCUCUGGGCUGAGCCAUCACUCUAAAAGCUAGGGUGUGAUCUAGUUAUGUUAAAGUGGAUUUACAUGGCAGAGCGAGCAAGGAGCCAGCUGUCAGUGUGUCUGCCCUUCAGCCCAUUUCACUAUUAAGAGUGAGGGCUCUGAGGCUUUGCUGACUGACAGAUUGGGUUCCAGAUAAUUGUAAUUCUAGCUUGAAGAUUUUGGGAAUUACAUGUUUAGAAAGAUGCCAACUAAAAGUUAACUUCCAAAAUAUUUAAUGGGUCUCUCUCUGGAGACAUGGAUGCUUUGCCAGUGUUUAUUGUAUGUCAUAAGUGAGCCUUUAAAAAGGAACAUAAGAAAUAAUAAAAAAAAACCCAAACAUCUUAUGUUUAGAAGUUUUGCCUUAUUUUAACAUUAAAACAAAACUUGGAUACUUCAUCAUUAGAUCCAUCAUACAAGUGAAAUUCUUUUGUGUGCAUACCCUGUAUUUUCCUUCCCACCUUAUCCCUCCUUCUGCUCCUCUCUUUCCCUCUUCUCUCUUUCCCUUUCCUUUUUGGUGAGAUUCUAAGUGUAGGAGUUAGAUUGCUUAAUGUGUGCUCAGGGCAAAGACGGAAAGAAUUGCAUUAUGUAGUCAUGCAGUGGUGUGGGUGGGGUGAGAUUUAAAAAAACAAAACAAAACACUAAGUUCCAAAAACUAGGAUUGCCACAAUAGAUCUGUAGGGACCUUUUUAGAGCUGAAGGUUAACUAGAAAUCUUACUUCCUCAGCAAUUUGAAGGCUUAGAACAUAGCCAGAUAGUGACAGAGGUAGCUGCUCCUUUUUACCCGUAUCAGUUUUAAAAAACAUCAGCAAUACAAAUCUUUCUUUGUAUAUGUUUAAUUUUAAUCUUAGAGCAUAAAAAUGUUUUCAGAAGAAAACUUGAAGACUAUUUAAGUGUAAGUUUCCUUCCAAGUGAAAUUCCAAAGAGCAGGCUGCUUUCUUCCUCAUGGACCUUUGAAUUCUUAAAAAAUGAAAUCUGAAGCUAUUGUGGUACCCCCAUAGUAACCAGCCCUUUAAAAGUAGUCCCUGAAUAGAGUAAGAAUAGUAAUUCAUUUGGGAAACAAAGGUCAAGCUAGAUGAAUAUCUCUGGCUAAUUUUGUUCACAGCUUUAUUAACUUACUAUGCUUUGACCAUUUGACAAUUUGAUUUUAUCAAGCUCUAUUCUUAUUGCCUUCCUUUAUUUACAUGUGUCUUUUAGAAAUGGAUAUGAAUGAAAUAAAAAUCUCAACUGCUUAGGGUGUGGGGCAGGUCCAUUUUCCUUUCUUUUAAUUUACUAACUCUGUCUUUGUGGGGAAUCAAGAAAGAGUAUCUUACUAUGGCCUAGUGGAUGAUUAUAUUUCUGGGAGCUACUGAAGGUAGAAAGCUUCUUGAGCAAUGCAAACACCUUGGUUUUGUGUUGAGCUUUGUGUGACUGCUGGGUCAUCUCCACCUUCCCACAAAUCUACCAAAUGCAAAUGUACAGGCUGACAAUGGAAAGCAAACAAAUGGUAUGCAUUAGGUACACAAGAGUGGGAAAGGUACAGAGGCUUUCAUAAGCCAUUACAAAUGGUAGCCUCCAAAUGCCAAGCUAUUUAUAAAGAGGAGAAGCCGUGACUUCCUAACACAGGGCCUGAAAUAAAGACGGGUUUGUCCACAAAAAAGAAUGUAACUAUUCAGUUCUGUGCAUUUGUUUAUUGAUGAUCUCUUUUUCCCUUACGUCUUGACAUUCCACCAGAGCAGACUUCAUGAUCUCCCCUUGGGAAACAACUCUGAGUUUAGCUUUAUUUACAAGCUCCAUUAUACUACAGAGCGAAAUGUUCUAGCUGAUAGAAUAGAUGUUACAUGGCAGCCCACUGACCUCUCUAUUUGGGAGAAAUAUUCACUCCUACAGAGAAGUCCUAAAUGUUAGCUGAUUCAUGUUCAUUUUUUUUUCUUUCUUUUUUUUUAUUUGCUGAAACUCAAGCUACCAACUUUAGUUGACUUCUUUGUUUUUUAAUCAGUAGGUGUUUUCUCUAUUUCAUGUAAGAUUUGUCAGUAAAUGAGGAAUUUUGGACUACUAAUCUGAGCUUUCAUAUUCCUUACCUUCAUUUGCUUCCAAGGCACCAAGUUCACGUUAAAAGUUUCACCUUUGCAGGAAAACUGUGGUGUAGGGUAGGAGGAAACCUAAUCUGCACACUCCUGAGGGGGAUGCUAUAUUUUCAAGGCAUUUGCCAGUGGGAGUCAAGGAGAAAUAAGGAGAUAAUUGUGGAACUGAUCCUUUAUCCCUGGGACUCUGGGAACCUCUAGCAACAUCCUGAAUAGAGAACUCAUCUUGAUAAAGGAGAUUGUUGAAAAGAUGCAUACCUGAGUCUGGGAAACUGCUCAGUUAUUUGGGAGGAGUACUUUUAUGUGUAUGAGCCCAGUGUCUGAUUUUAAUGUGAAGGAAACUGACUUUAGUUCUGAGAAGAAAGAGCUGUAAAAAUCAACAGAGGAUACUUUCCUUCUAAAACACUUCUAAAGACCAAGCAAGACAGGAUGCCUCAAAUUGGUAAGCAGCCCUAAGCAGGAGUAAGUGGAGAACAGAGAGAAGGAGACCAGCAUGAUUGAAUGAACAGUUGCUAUAGAAGAGGUCACCAUUGAAUGGAUAGAGAAUUCCAGCAAAGGACUAGGAGAGUGUGGGAGCCUCUUGGGACUGAAAGGACUUCGACUUUUAGGAGAGGUGUGCCUUCGCAGGCUAUGAGUUUGUUAGGAUUUGGAUGUGAGGUGUCCGCCAAUCGCUCACGUGUGAGACAAUGCGAGAAAGUUUGGAGGAGAAAUGAUUGGGUCAUACCCUUAACCUAAUCAGUGAAUUAAUCCCUGAUGAAAUUAACUGAGUGGUAACUGGAAGCAGGUGGUAUGGCUGGAGGAAGUAGUUCAUUGGGGACAUGGCUAUGGGGUAUAUAUUUUGUAUCUGAAGAGUAGAGUCUCUCUGUCUCUGCUUUCUGAUCAUCAUGUGAGCUGGUUUUCUCUGCCACACUCUUCUGCCAUCAUGUCCUCACCUCAAGCCCUGAGGAAUGGAACUGACCUUCUAUGGACUAAGGCCUCUGAAACUGUGAGUCCUUAAGUAAACCUUUCCUCCUUUACAGUUGUCAUAUAGGGUCUUUCAGUCGCAGCAGUGAGAAAGCGGACACACUCUCACCAUGAUGUUCUGCCUCACUUGGAGCCUGGAGAAAUGGAACUUGCUGUCUAUGGAUAGAGACCUCUGAAACCCUGAGCCCUUAAUUAAACUUUUCCUCUCUAAAAUUGUUCUGGUCAGAUCCUUUUAGUCACAACAGUAAAAAAGCUAAGACAGAGCUCAACAUGCAAAAAUUAAUUGCAGUUGGAUGUUUAGGACUGGAUUUGGGAAAGACCUUUCAUUGUGCAGUGGCCAUUGCAAUAGUAAGAUGUAAAUUAAACACUACAGAUAACAAAAAUGAUUUGAAGAAAAACUUGGAUUUCCUAAAGUCAUUUGGAUAAAGUGUUAUUAUAACAGCUGAGAGUCCUUGCUUCCCACAGCAAUAUUAUUGCAGCUUUUAUUUCUGUUCUUGUCAAUAGCUCUUGGUUCUUUUCACCAAACCAAGAAGUGCUAACACAUUUAGAGCUUGUAGUCAACAUUCUGACUCAAGCAGCAUGCAUAAUUAAUCCCAUAUCAUGGCCAGUUUCACUUUUUCCUUUUCAUCCAAAUGUGCAUAAAAUUCUUGGUGGCUGCCUCUAUGGAUCCUCACUAUUUAAAUGCAGCCCAUUUUGUCCACCCCCUUCCACCCUUCCUCCCUUUAACCACAGAAAACAUAACUAAUUAUGUUUCUUGGGGAAAACAUAACUAAAUGAGUCUAGAUAUAUUUAGUAGUUUAUCACCUUUCCAGGUGUUUAGGUCAAAUGAAUGAUAUAUUUAGUGGGGAAAACACUUCCCACAGUCUAAAAUGGAAUGCGAGCUUAAUCAAGCAUUCAUGCUUUACUGAGUGGCCAGUACUACUAAAAAAAAGUGAUCCUUUCCCUAAGGAAGGAGCUUGAAAUCAGUAGGCCUGCUAUGGAAAUUUUAUUCUACAUACCACCUGUGUGUUAGCUGGUCAUUUGUGUGUGCCUGUGUGGUUAGUUUGAAAGGAUGGAAUUACUUGGAGUUGCUGGGAAUCAUAUGUUAACUUCACGUUCUGUUCACAGGAUGAAACCUUUCAGUGCCAUUCACCUUAAGAUCAUUAUUGCUGUGGCUUGGUUAAUUUUAUGCCUUCAACAAAAAUUUAUAGUGCACCAUGAAUCAGGUUUACAAAGGCCAUUUGAUGGCAGCAGCCCUGAUUCAUUUCACCAAAGAGACAGGGUCUCACUGAGUUUCUUAUCACCUUGCUGUUACUGAGGCUGGCUUUGAACUCUCCAUCAUCCUGCCUUGGCCUCCAGAGACGCUGGGAUUACAGAAGCUGGAAGCCUUUGCCGUGGAGAUACACAUGCACUUGGCCCAGAAGUUGGAACAGCUAAAGCAGGUGGUCCAGCGGGAGGUGAAGAUGUAUGCUUGGCUGCUGCCCAGGCUAACCAAGUAAGCAACACCAGCAACACUUAGGAGCUGCAAGAGUCAAUUGCACUUUGUACUCACCUUCUUGGAGCACAAAGACAACUGUUCCCAUUCUGUCAUGCAAAUGACUCUUCUGCUCCAAAUCCUCCUUGUCCUAGGCAGGGAAGGGAAUCUGGGAAAUAUUGCUAAGUUGACACAAUAGAAAUCUACUACACUUGUCUCUAUCUUGUC